rnacentral:lncRNA from 1 species
UCGUGCGCGAGAGCCAGGACGUUGCGGCGCGUGAUCCUGACCUCGUCGUCGGCCGGCGUGUACAUCAGGCCGGAGCUGCCGCAGCAGGGGGACGACGACGACGGGCACGUCGUCCUGGACGAGGACUCCUGGUCCGACGUCGAGUACCUAAGAGCCGAGAAACCGCCGCUCUGGUGGGCCUACUGCGUGUCCAAGGUGCUCCUGGAGAAGGCGGCGUGCAGGUUCGCGGAGGAGCACGGCAUCAGCCUGGUCACCAUCUGCCCCGUCGUCACCGUCGGCGAGGCGCCGGCUCCGGUCGUCAACACCAGCGUCCCCCUCUGCCUCUCGUUUCUUACCGGUGAGCGAUGAGGAGGAUGUGAGGUCCCUGUCGUUGUGCUGGCACUAAUUGCGGUUGGCCGGUCUUUUUCAGGCAACGAGGCACUGCUCGCGGCGCUCAAAGGCAUCGAGAAGACCUCCGGCGGGGUGCAGCUGGUGCACGUCGACGACCUCUGCCGCGCCGAGCUGUUCGUCGCCGAGGAGGCGGCCGCCGCGGGGAGGUACAUCUGCUGCAGCCUCAACACGACCGUCGUCGAGAUCGCGCGUUUCCUGGCACGCAAGUACCCGCAGUACGGCGUGGAAACAAAUUUGUCGUAAGAAUAAUCGAGCCAACCGAUGAUGCUGAUUGAUCUGACGUCCUCAGUGAUGAAUAAAGAUUUUUGGUGGUUAUAUGUUCUUAUCUGAGAUCCUGUUUCUGAAAUCAAUGCAGCACCGACGACGACGAGCAGCUCCUGGAGAAGCCGAGAGUGAGCCUGUCGUCUGCAAAGCUGGUUGGGGAAGGGUUCGAGUUCAAGUACAAGACCCUAGACGAGAUAUACGGUGACGUCGUACGUCGAGUACGGCAAGGCACUGGGAAUUCUGCCCUACUGAUAUAGCGUGGAUAGUCUGAUGUGUAGCCCGUUUUGGGAUAGUCUAUUUUGUCAAUAUCUAUAUCUAUUCUACUUCUACAUCCAUCUAAUAUUAAAAGAAAAAAAUUAUGUCGUCUAUUUUUUUUUCAUCCAUCGGAUCAUCCCAUUAUGCCUCACUUUUCUCCAUCCUCAUCUCACAUUUGUUGCCACACACAUUUCUAAUCCAAGUUCAACACGGGAUCAUAUUUUUUUUCUAAUCUAAAACCUGCACGAUCUUAAUCUACGGCAAAACCACACGUUUCAAAUAGUGAAUGUCUAGCCAUGAUGCAGAGUCUGAUUCCAAAAAUAUAUCAGAAUAUAUGACAUAAUAGUUGUAUAAAUCUUCAAUCCAAAAGUCGUGACAGUAUAAUAAAUUGUAUGUUCUAUUGCAAUGUCUGGAUAUGUUUGCUAGUUAUUGAAAAAUAUGCUAGGGUUAAGUUAUCGAAUGGGAUGGUCUACUGUGCUAGCUAGUACUAGCAGAACUACAUACUCCCUCCAUACCAGAUUUAAGUGACGUUCUGGGCACCUGUUUAGAUUUCGUAAAGCAGCAAAAAUGGGCAUGGCGUUUUAGCCUCUGAAGAAGUCCGGCGAACUGGAAUGCCCCUGCCGCUUCGUUCGUCGCAGAGCAAAAAUGGCACAGGACGUGGGAUUUGAACCGCUGCCCUCGCCCACGCGCACCUCGAAACCACCCUAACCAGUAGAGAUGAGAGUCUUUCAUGUCUAGGAACACCUUCGGCUCCAUUUAAUAGGGGCUAAACCGGAAGAUUAGCCCUUAAUCAAUGACUCCUUGGUAAGCACAAUCAUGUUCUAAACGUCAUGUAAUCUUGGUACGGAGGGAGUAUCAGCUUGAGACCUUAGGAGAUAUAGAGGCCGGCCGGGCUAGACUACCUUAUUAGGGCCAUCGGCUGCUAGAGCACUCCAUUAAAUGGAUGGUGGGUUUCUCGGGUAUCUUAGGUUAAACUUGUAAAACCAAUAGUUUAGCAUUGCUUUCUCUAGGUUUAUUAGGUUGGUUCUAAUCUAAUUUGCAUCAAGUACAAAAGGUGCGUUUAGUUUGAAGGAUCAUCACGAAUGAGAUUUGACAAAUCUAGUUUCACUAGUUUAUUUUGUUCUGGGGCAACGAGGGACGAAACCAUCCCCAGGUGAAAUAUUUCUCCUAAAUCCAGCUGACUUGUGGCAAUAGCGACCGGAUUGAGUAGAGCACAACCACUAUUGAGGAUGGCAUGGCCCUAGGGCAAAGGCGACAAGGACAUAGUAGUGUCGGCACGGAACAAAAAGACAUCUCGACACAUGUGGUGCUCAUGGCGACGGUGUGAUGGCUCGGUGGAGCAUAUGUGGCGAAGGAGAGAGAUCAAGGAAGGAGAAGGUGUGGUAUUGGCUGACAUGUGGGGUCCCAAGACUAAAAGUGACUAAUGGCGUAGAAAACACCAUCCGCCUCAUGUCGUUUGAUCUUUCCGACCAAAUAAUAAGAUAAGACCGUUUGGUCCUUCCAACCAAGGCCUUGUGGAAUUUUACAAAAUAGAAAUAGUAGCACUUUUGUUUGAAUUUGACCAAUAUUAUCCAAUCAAACUAGUCUCAAAAGAUUUGUCUCGCAAAUUACAGAUAAACUAUAUAAUUAGUUAUUUCUUUUAUCUAUAUUUACUUAUUUAGUGCUCCAUGCAUGUGUUGCGAGAUUCGAUGUGAUGGGGAAUGUGAAAAAUGUUGCAAAUUAUUUUGGGAACUAAACAAGGCCCAAAUAAUAAAAUAAGAUGACCCCAUUCCCUUUUCGAUCAAACAAGAGCUGAGACAGUUCCAUCCUAAAAGCUAGGGAUGGAUUCAUUCCAUGGCACGUUGUCUCUCCUUACCAAACACAUGUGAAGGCAACAACUCCAUCUCAACUGUGUACAACGUGGACAUUGAUUUUACUCAAAUGGGAGGAGAAAAGUCCACAACGAAUCAAUAACAUCUGCCCUUUUUAUUUUAUUAUAUGUUUUUAUUAUUUUUAUUGUUAUAUAUGUAACCUCAAUAAUUGAGUCUGUGGUUUUUUUCUGUCAUAGCACAGAUGUAAAUACUCAUACAUGUACAUACCGAACCUACAAUGGACUAAUUUCGCAUUUCCUCAUAUGGGUGGAAACCAUGUCAAAGUAAAAGAAAUAGUAUCAAAAAAUAAAAUUGUGUUCUUGGGCUUGACUAGGGGGCUAAAUGGCCAGCAAGAAAACUCUUACUUUAAAGGCAUCAAUUUUUAACAUUUAGCCCAUUGAAGCAGCAUCAGUCAUAUAUCACCACUGACAACAUGGUGAAAAAGAAUAAAGGAGCAACGUACACUGUGGCAAUACUGGCACCGCACCACAGCAAGUUCUUGCUCCGACAAGAGGUUAAGAGCCUUGCUCAUAACCUUGUCAUAGUCGUUAAUGCCCGACUUUUGAAUAUAUAGCACCAAUCCGAGAAUUGACCCGCCGGUGAAGACGAUUUCCAACCGUCCCUCUUGAAUUGCCAACAGGGGGCGAAGGAAGCUUGUGCGUGCUAACUGAACACCUACCAACCGGUCAAGCGUUCGAACAAAAAAACCAACCGGUCAAGCGCAACGGACUGAAGUGUGUACUGUGUACGUGCUCCAUGAUAAAAUGCAGACUAGCAGCUCCAUGAUCAGAACUCACUCCUGCAUGCAAAUCGUAGCAAAAAAUAAAAUAUUUAGUGGCGAGUUCUCAUUUCCCCCAUUGCCAGGCGGAAGAGGAGGUGAUCGGCAAUGUCAGAGGGCGGCAGGAAGCAGAAGACGGCGUGCGUGACCGGAGGUAACGGGUACAUCGCCUCGGUGCUCAUCAAGAUGCUGCUCGAGAAUGGCUACGCCGUGAAGACGACGGUCAGGAACCCCGGUUCGUUCGGUUCUUCCCUAGCUAGCUAGUUUCCACACUAGAUUGAGCGUGAACAGUUGCAGUUUCUUGUGAUCCCGUGACAAAACUUUGUAUUAUUGUGAUCCUGAAUCGCAGAUGACAUGGCCAAGAAUUCCCACCUCAAGGACAUGCAGGCGGUCGGCCCCCUGACAGUCCUCCGCGCCGACCUGCUAGAAGAAGGCAGCUUCGACGAGGCCGUCGCCGGCUGCGACUACGCCUUCCUCAUCGCCGCUCCGGUGAACCUCCAUUCGAAGAAUCCUGAGGUGCACAAACGUCACCACUACCUACGACUUGUGAUUUUCACCUGCUCCGAUCCUUUGCUCAAAUGUGGUGGCGGUGACUGAACUGAUGGCAGAAAGAACUGAUCGAGCCUGCUGUCCGAGGAAUCCUGAACGUCAUGAGGUCGUGUGCCAAGGCAGGGACAGUGAAGCGCGUGAUUCUGACCUCGUCGGCGGCUGCAGUCGCCGGCAGGCCGUUGCAAGGCGGCGGCCACGUUCUGGACGAGGAGUCCUGGACCGACGUCGAGUACCUCACUGCCAAAAAGUCCAGUCACUGGGUAAUAAGGAAAUGGCACCAUAAAUGUCCUGUCCCCGUUCUCGUCCGAAUCGGAAGAAUGGCACCAUCCAUUUCUGCUGAUGACGAGUAUGGCACACCAUCCAACAUCCAUGUGCUUGCAUCGCAGGGGUACGGGGUCUCCAAGGUGCUCGCGGAGAAGGAGGCGUGCAGGUUUGCGAAGGAGCACGGCAUCAACUUCGUCAGCGUCUGCCCCGUCCUCACCGUCGGCGCAGCACCUGCCACAAAGAUGGACACGAGCCUCCACGCUAGCCUCUCCUGCUAUCCGGUCGCUUCCAAAUUCCCGUGUUUUGACUCCCAGUCAUUCAGCAGUGUUUUUCUCUGACAAUAAAUUAAUCAACAGUACUUUCUGCCAUGGCAGCCAAACGAACAAGAUAAUUCGCACGCUACAGUGCAUGUCUCAUGAGUCAUGUUCAUGGUUCACCGAUCGAAAUUUGCAGGCGACGAAGCAGCGUUCCGGGUGCUGAGAGGAAUCGAGAUGGCCACGGGCUGCAUGCCGCUGGUUCACGCCGCUGACCUGUGCCGUGCGCAGAUGUUCGUCGCCGAGGAGGACGCGGCCGCCGGGAGGUACAUCUGCUGCAGCGUCAACACCACCAUCGUCGAGCUCGCCCAUUUCCUGGCGGACAAGUACCCGCAGUACACCGUGAAGACACAUCUGCUGUAAGAAUAAGAAUCGGCCGGAUUUCGAUCACACCUACAGCUCUGGAUUCUGGAACAUAUUUUGCAGGGGACAGAUCAGUGACCGAAUAAUUCUCGCGCUUUAAUUUGCAGCUCCUCCGGGGUCCUUGAAAAGCCGAGAGUGAGCCUGUCGUCGGCGAGGCUGCUCGGCGAAGGGUUCAAGUUCAAGUACGAGACGCUGGACGAGAUCUACGACGACGUGGUGGCGCAGGGCAAGGCCCUGGGGGUUCUGCCCAACUGAUACUUUCUUUGCAUUGCAAAGCGAUCGAGAGCACCAAAUUAAAUAGCAAUGAAGUUGGGAAACAAAUAAAUUUGUUGUAUCUCUAUCCAUACGGUAGCUGAACUGUAGAGGUUCAGUCAGUUUGUGUAAAAGUGGGAUCUGUGCGUUUGUGUACUCCUGCAAUAUCUAUAUCUAUAUUUACAUAUAUAUACUUUUUUGUCUUAUUAAAAAGGAAAAUUUUCUCUCAUCCAAAUCUUCGUCCCGCACCAUCCACUGUUACUUUUCCUACAAAUGUUGAGUAUAUCAGAGUCCCCAAAUUCCAUAUGUCCUGAACUUUUUCGAAAGAUCAUAUGUCCUGAACUUUACGUGUUCAACACACCAAUUACGUAUUUCCACGGCCUGUACUUUGACGUUCAUCUUCAAUAUUAGCAGCGAAAGGAUUUUACAUAAAAAACACAUUGCUAGGGUUCUAGAUUUGAGGGCAGAAAACCAUUGGCUCCAAAAACCAAGCAAUUAGAAGGUAAGACAUGGCACACCCUGGCAAGACAUGCAUGGCACGCUCUUCCCGUUCUCAUCCUCGCACGCUGUUUGGCUGGAGGUCUGGGUGACUUGCCUGGAAAAAAAAUCUUGUACAGAAUGUCCGUUUGAUUGGAGGCCUGUGCUUUGAAUGUAUAAUAUUAUGUGUACUUAUGGUGUAUGAUAAACAUAUACUUUUAUAGUUUAACUCAAAUAAAUAGAUGAUCUAGAUUAGUGUUAUUUCCCCUUGUCUUAGAGAUUAAUAAGUAACAGCGACAAAGUAUUUGUUAAAAAAAAAUAUCCGUUCAAGGAAUCAAGCAACUAACUACCAAUAAGAGUAGUAGGGACCAGACAAAAGAAACAAUAAAGACGGCACAGACAAAAAAAAAAAAGCUAACAUGCAUAGAGCUGUUUCUUUCCUCUUAAUAAGCUAUAGUAGAAAAUAUUAUUUGUUUUAUAAUAAAAAAUACUACUAAAUGACUUAUAGAUUUGGCUAAUAAACUUAAGUGAACAGCACUUCAAUUUCAGUCGCCUCUGGACAUCGACGCGCUUGCCUGGUACAAGCACAGGGCAUUAACCAAACGUACACGAGGCAAGGCGUGCGCAAGGUCCGGACCAAGCAAUUCUGUCCCAGGGCCCUAAUGUACACGAAGGCAACGUCAUAGACGUAGACGUAGACGUAGGUAUCAAUGUUCAAACUUGCAAGCGAGGAGGGCCCAUCAUAAUUGAUCUCAAUAAUGAUGACAACGUUGAUACAGGCUCAGAAGUAGAUGCCUAAAAUGAUGUCCUGAAAAUGUAUAUGCAAGAUGUUUUAUGAAAGGAAGGUGGGCAACCAAAUUACAUCCUUCUCACCUAAACAUUUAUACCAGGUAAAUAAACUUUAGUAUCAUUUUCCUUUUUUUUGCUAUUUCAUCUAUACAACUUAAUAAUAAUAAUAAUAAUAAUAAUAAUAAUAAUAAUAAUAAUAAUAAUAAUAAUAAUAAUAAUAAUAAUAAUAAUAAUAAUAAUAAUAAUAAUAAUAAUAAUAAUAAUAAUAAAGAAAUAAAAUUUCUCACUGCUAAAAUUUUGUACGGCCUAGCCCGUCUCUUAUUUUCAAGGGCCCAACCACACCUCCUGACCAGUCACCCACUAAAGGCACACCAACUAAUGGGCUAUGCUAACUUGAGGCCCACUAAAGGCACACCAACCAAUGGGCUAUGCUAACUUGAGGCCCACUAAAGGCACACCAACCAAUGGGCUAUGCUAACUUGAGGUCCACGGGAAGUGCUUUCAAAUAUAGACAAAAUUUUUGGAACUAGCGUCAAAUGCUAACUAGAGGCACACCACAAAUAUAGACAACCUAGUUUGUAUUUGACAAAUAUUGUCCAAUACUAACUAGGUUUAAAAGAUUCGUCUCGUCAAUUCCGACCAAAAUGUGCAAUUAGUUUUUAUUUUUGUCUAUAUUUAAUACUCCAUGCAUGCGUCUAAAGAUGUGAUGUGACGGGAAAUCUGAAAAAUUUUACAAUUUUUUUUGGGAACUAAACAAGGCCUAAGUGUUGAAUUUAGCCUUAUUAAAUAUCAAUAUCUAUCAUUUCUGUUCCACCGUAUCGCCCAAUGCAACAAAUAAAGUGCCACUGGAGCAUGUUGCCAUGGGUGUGGGUUGGCUCCUGGAGGAAGAAUGAUAGGAUCGGAUUAUUAGCUUGAGUAUCCUGCUUUUUAAUCCUACUACUAUCAGACCAAUUGGCAUCGUCGCGAGGGUUCUCAACACGCGGCGUCUAUAUGAACUGACCUGGCGAUGCUCGAAGCCAUGCACUUUCAGGCGCCUCUCCAGGUUUGCCCCAUGGCUGACGCAUAUGGUUACACGGCGCCAUCCGGCAACGGGAGAGCAUCACCGUACCACCAAGUGCCUCAUUUGCUAAAUGAUGAAGUAGAUCUCACGUCUGUGCCUGAAAGUCCUCAGUGUCCUGUGAUUUUUAGUGACUACAGAGUAAUUCACUUUCUGGACACGUCAGUUUCAUCCCUUUAUUUACUAGCCUUUCGAAAAAGUUUCAUCCCUUUACUUCUAGUGUGGUGUCUAUAUAUAUAUAUAUAUAUAGCGAUGGCCCCCGACAGUUACAAGCCACCAAAUCGAAGACGACGACGGGUCUCAGUGUCAAUGCUCCCUGCCGAGAGAGCUUUUUGUGAGCCCUAUCUCGCAUGUCAUGAAAGAGAGGUUUUUCGCGAUCGAGAACGUGACUUGCACGUGUUUCAUUAAGAGUGAUAGUCAUGAGAGAGGUGGUCAGUUGUGAUCGGCGUAUAAUGGCAGCUGGCGACAUGAAGAGGACGGCGUGUGUGACCGGAGGGAACGGGUAUACAUCUGGGGAAUCUUUUCGUUCGAACGUUCGGACAAGAAACACGGUUUGAUUCUUGUCACGGUCUUUCUCGUCACGAGUUCCAACCAUAGAGCGACAGCUACACAGCUGAGCGACUGUACGCAGCGAAGCUAGAGAAAAUUUAAGGACGGUGCACUUACUUUAUGAAUGUAUAGAUUUUUUUAAUAAACAGGAGAGGUCUGUGGAGGUACAUAUAUAUAGUGAAAAAUUGGUCACUAUAACUGAUUUUUAAAAUUUUAGGAAUGUAUAGGCACCUCCUAAUGACACUGCAGCUUCACCCAUGUAUGUUUCUUUUCCUUUUUCUUCUCGGGACGGAUGGACAGGUAGUUGACUUUCUUCUUAUUUGUAACGCUUGCUAGUUUGUAGUGGUUGGCUUGCGUUAGUUUCUUUUCUAUUUCUUUUUUCCUUUUUUGUUUUAUGUAUUUUUUAUUAUUUUCUCAUUUCUUAUAUUUUUAUGUUUCUUUUUAUUUCUUUUUUCUAUUUUCUCUUUUUUUUCCUCUUUUUAUGUUCCCACGAUGUGCAUGUUCUAUUUUUAUCUUUUUCCUCUUCUUUUGAAUUCUCUUCAUUGUUUUUCUUUGCUUCUAUUUAUUCUUACCUUUUCUUUUCCUAUUAGUUUUUUAUGUUUUUUCAUUCUUAUUUUUUCUUUUCCCGCCCCUAUUUCAGUUAUUCAUUUUUUAUUUGUUCUAUAUAUUUUAUCCUUGUUAAUAAUAUUUUUGUUUCUUUUUCUAAUUAUGUUUUUCUUUGAUCCAUGUUUUUUAUUUUUUAUAUUUCUUUAUUUUAUUCCUUUUCUUUUCGUGUAUAUUUCUUUUUUCUUUUCUGCUUUUAUUAUUAUUAUUAUUAUUAUUAUUAUUAUUAUUAUUAUUAUUAUUAUUAUAUGUUUCAUAUUUUUAAUGAUAUUUAUUUUCUUAUUAUGUAUUUUGCGAUGUUCGCCUAAUCUACAUGUGAUAUUCUUGUAAUAUACAUGAGAUGUUUUAUGACGUUUUUUGUGAUGUUCACACAAUAUACAUAUGAUGUUCUAUGAUGUAUUUAGUGAUGUUCACGUAAUAUAUAUGCGAUGUUCUAUAAUGUAUUUAGUGACGUUCUAUGGCAUAUUUUAGUGAUGUUCACUUAGUAUAUAUGUGAUGUUCUAAGAUCUAGUUAGUGAUGUAUAUGUGAUGUUCUAUAAUGUACUUGGUGAUGUUUUAUGGUGUAUUUUGUGAUAUUCACUUAGUAUAUAUGUGGUAUUCUAUAAUCUAUUUUAGAAUGUUUAAAAAUUAUCCGUGUGAUAUUUUUUAAAUUUUUCUCUGUUACAUCUUAAUUUUUUAUUAUGCUUUGGUCUAGAUUUUAUGUUUUAUUUAUGCUAGAUAUUUAUUUAUUUAUUUUUAUAUAUAUUAUAAUACCAAUAUCAUGCAUUUAAACUAAACAUUGUUCUUCUAAACUAAGAAUAUUUUUCUUACAAAGACGGAACAUUGUUCUCUGAACUUGGAACAUUUUCUCUGCUUAAUAAAGAAAAUAAUCUAUUUUCAUAAGAUAAAUAUUUAUCAAUAAAAAAUUAUCUAAAUAUAUCUAUGUAAGUCUUGUUUUAAAGAAUUUAUUAAAAAACCAAAUGAUUUAUUUAAAAUUUAAUUUUAUAUGUUUGGUUUAAUAUUUACGACUUUUUUUUAAUAAAAACGUAUGACAUCACCUCAUGCAAAUCAUCAAGCAAAUAAAAUAAUCAUUUGCAUGCAGGCUAGUGUCCUUAUCCGUCCAGUGCGCCAUCCUCUGGUGGUUGGAAAAGUUCUUUUUCCUAUGCUCCUGUGAGGCUCACGAGAACAAGUAUUACAGUGGGCUGUAAGCUGGCUAAAUGCUGAGGUGGAGGAGAGAAGAGAGGAGAGAGAGGAGAAGCAGGCUGUAAGCUUACAGCCAGCUUAGGUACAGGAAUCAAGAAACUUUGUGAGAGAGAUAAGUGGGACAUAUAUUAAUAGUGAAUAGCUAACUAUUGUAUGGAUGGGCUGAGAGAAGGCUGCAAAAAACCUUACAGCCAGAUAUUAUUAAACUUGCUCUCGCUGCGAGCGCCGGAGGGAAAUUUAUCGGCGCGAAGCCCAAGGAACCGCACGUUUCCUCUGUUCGCACGCUUUCCUAGCCAGGGAUAGGUGGAGACACUGUAGGCAAAAAAAGAAGUCUCGUCAAUUUUUUAUUAAACUGUGCAAUUACUUCUUAUUUUCGUUUAUAUUUAAUACUCUAUAUAUGUGUCUAAAAAUUCGAUGUGACAGGAAAUCUAAAAAAUUUUACAAAAUUUUUUAAAACUAAACAAAGCCACUAUCGAACGCAUAUUUCGGUCCGCCCAUCGAACGCUAGCAGCCCUCAGUAUACAUCCCUCCGCGAUCAUCAAGGGCCCGUUUGGUUGCCCGUAUAAGACCAUACAUGCAUCUCGGGAUACAUCGUGACCCUGUUUGGUUGUCUGCAUGCAGCUUUGGACCAGACAUUGGGCAUGCAAAAAGAAGCCCUCAGCCAGGCUGGAGGAACGCCCGAAUCGGCCGUUCCUGGCCAGCCAGACUGGGCAAAUGCAGCCGUUUACGUGGCUAGCGGUGUAUUAGUGCGUGAUUAGUAAAUAUCAAGUGAUAUUACUGUAUUUUAAAGUUGAUUAAGAUAUAAUUAGAUAAAAUAAGAUCUGUAAGAGUGUAUUCAUACACAAAUAAAAAUUAUAAUCAUAAUUUUAUAAUAUUUUUAUCUCAUACAGUUUACCUUCAUAUAGAUAACCAAACAGCAUCUAAUCAGAGUCUGACUUCACAUAUGCAUACAACCAAACUAAACUUCCUUUAUGUAUUUGGUCUGGUUGGGAUGAGAAGGGAACCAAAUAGGCCCCAAGAUGCUGCUGGAGAAGGGCUACAUCGUGAAAUCGGUAAUGAUAUGUAUAAGACGUCCGGACGGACGGACGCUGCUGUCCACUCGUUUUAUCCGAUUCACUCGUUGCCUUCUUCUCUCCCUCGCGCUGCUGUCCACACGUUUUAUUCACUACUUUUCAUCUUCUCUGGCCGCUCCACUUCUCUUGCCACACACGUCCGCACUCUACUACGCCGCUGGCUAGCCAUCCCUCUCUCUCCCUUCCUCCCUUCCUCACCUCGCUACAACCUCCAUGUCUCCAUGCCACCGGAGUGGGGGCGGCGACGGUGGCUUGCAGCAAGCCGCACGUCUCCCUAUCUUCGUACUCUCUUCCUCGCUCGGCGACCUCCAUGGAUGACGGCGCACCUCCAAUGAGGUAGGUGGGGACGAUUUGGAUCUGAGGUCUCUCUUUCCCCUUCCUCCUCCUAUGGAUCUAGAUCUAAGCCCUCCUCUUCUUCUUCUUCUGUGGAUCUAGAUCUGAGCCCUCCUCCCUCCUCCUCCACGUUCUUCAACUCUGCUCCUCCUCCUCCUACUUCUCCUUUGGGUCUGGAUCUACGUGAUGUGGUGGUGGUUAAGAUUUCGAUGAGCUUUUGGGUUUCAGCGUUCGCGCAUGUUGUAAUGGUGUUCUCUGCUUGUUGCAGUACGUUUUCAAGUGAUGUUGCAGUAGGGUAGGAUUUUGACGAGCUCUCAGGUUCAAGUCUCGUCUUCAUUGCAAUGGUUCUCUCUAGACGUUGCAGUAGGUUUCAGUCGUUUGUUGCAAUACUGUGUUUCAAGAUGUUGUUUCACUUGCUUCAAUCUGCAUGUUCUAGUAGUUUUCUUUCAUGUUGUCGCAGCAGUUGUUCGGUGUUGUUGUAGUACUAUGUCCAUGGUGUUUCAGUUGCUCCAUCUAAUGUUUCAAUCUUCACUGUUGUAUUAGUUGUUGCAUGUUGUUGCAACAGCUGUUCGGUGUUUGUUGCACUACUAUAUCCAUGGUGUUUCGGUUUCUCCACCCAAUGCUUCAAUCUAGCUGUUGCAUUAGUUGUUACAUGUUGUUGCAACAGUUGUUCGUUGUUGUUGUAAUACUAGGUUUCAUGGUGUUUCAGCUGCUCCAUCCAAUGCUUCAAUCUGUAUGUUGUAGUAGUGUUUGCAUGUUGUUGUAGUAGGUGUUCAGUGUUUGUUGUAAUACUAUGUUUUAUGGUGUUUCAGCUACUUCAACCUAUUGUUGUAGUAGUAUAUCUAUGUUGUUGUACUAUCACGCGCAUUGUGUUGCAGCGUUAAGUCUAUGGGGUAGGCUAUCGGGACGAGUUGACGAUGGGCAGAUGUGCUAGGGACCGGUGAGACGAGGGGCGAGGUGGAUCCGGUGCUCGCGGUGGUGGGGACGGGCUCCUUGUCUGGGGAGCGGACGAAGAGCAGUCCUCCGUGCGGGGCAAGUAGAGCAGAGCGCGAGAUGGUUGCAGACGGACGGUUUCCCUUCUUUUUCUUUUUUUUUUCUUUUUGCGGGUGGGGGCUCGACGUACGGAUGUGUUGUUGACGCUUUUUUUUAUUUUCUAUGGAUGGCGCGGGUUGGAGGCUCGGCGUCCGGAUACGGUACUGGCGCCGGACGUCCGGGCGCUAGGUCAAAGAACCCAGUCCGGAUCACGGUUCGACCCAUCCCAGAGUCCCGUCGCCCCGGCCUUGUUUAGUUUCUCAAAAACUAAAAAAUUUUCAAGAUUCUCCAUCAUAUCAAAUCUUACGGCACAUGCAUGAAGCAUUAAAUAUAGAUGAAAAUAAAAACUAAUUAUAUAGUUUUUCUGUAAAUCAUGAGACAAAUCUUUUAAAACCUAGUUACUUCAUGAUUAGAUAAUAUUUGUCAAAUAAAAAUGAAAAUAUUAUAAUAUCAUAAUUAAAAAAAAUUAGAUCUAAACAAGACCUAAUAUCACGUCUGCUAUUGUUUCUGCAGCUCCGUUUCUCCAUGGAUGAAGGAGACGCCGCCGUGGCGACUGGCGACCAUUCUGGAGCAGCGCGCGGCAACCGGCCGACAGAACGAGCAAACGGUGCACCUUUCGAUUUGGCGUGAGGAGGUUCCUUAAGCCAUGUGCCAUUUGUUUGCUUGCCUGUUCCUGAGUCUUGGAAUACGCUAGCCGCAGCUUCUGUGUAAGAUUUUUUUUUCUCCAAGUCAAGGCAUACUAACGUUGAGCAGCUUUUUUCUCAUGCAGUGAAUGAUUUUAGGUCUAGGCCUUGUUUAGUUGUGAAAAGAUUUCGAAUUUUGAUACUGUAGUACUUUAGUUUAUAUUUGAUAAUUAUUGUCCAAUUAUAGAUUAACUAGGCUGAAAAGAUUCGUCUCGUAAUUAAAUUACAGAUAAACUGUGCAAUUAGUUUUUGUUUUCGUCUAUAUUUAGUGCUUUAUGCAUGUGCCACAAGAUUUGAUGUGACGGAGAAUCUUGAAAAGUUUUUGAAUUUCGGGGUGAACUAAACAAAGCCUUACUGUGAAUACAUUUGAAUAUCUGAGAACAAGACCAAUAUUGAGCAUUCAAGUAUGUUACUUAAUCAUUCAAAUUCCAAAUGGAGAAGAUGGGUCCAGUUCAUCUGUCAAAUUUGUCAGUUCAGAUAUUAGACACUGGUAAAGUGCAACGCAGCCAAAAGCAAGACAACAGACUCAUAGUCAUUACGUGGCGUUGAUAAUAGAAUUACAUUUUCACAGAUAAUGUUACUCAACAUUAUGACACUCAUCAGUGAUAAGGAGGCAAUAGGAGCACGCCAACAACAAACUAUUUUUCUAAUAAUUGAACAAAAGAGCAUCAGUUGAUGGAGACUGUUAGGACUCUUGCACUAUAUUAUGAAGAACUUGAUGAAUGUCAUCACUGAAAUGUUGUUUUGACGAUAGACUUUCAGCAUUUUUGACAUAGUUGAAUAUCACUGGACAUUUUUCUGAUGGUGAGCAGUUCCCGCGCUAUCUCCUUCUUGGACAUCCCGCCGUAUGCCUGCAAAGUGUGCAAACCGAGAAAUUGUAGGCAGCAAGCGGUGGAUGUUCAGAACCACAACAACAUUUACAAUGGUACAUGUUAGCAUCAUAUACCUGGAAACGGCAUGAAUUUGAAGAACACACGCCGUGUUACAGAAGAAAUGCAGACUUUUACUUUCUCAUAAGUCAUAAGCUAGGUAACAGCGCCACAACAGAAUAGACUUCUGCACCUUAUCGUCACCUAGAGCUCUCCCACCACAAAAACAGACUCCUGCAGCUUAUCAUCACCUAGAGCUCUCCAAAAUCCAAACAGACUGUAUUCUAUUGUUACAUUCGGCUUUACACAAUUCAAAAGCACCAAACAUGAAAGCUGCACGUAGAAAACAAUGAUAAUAUGAACCUAUGAAAGGUGCAUACAAAAUAGAAGUUCCAACUUAGAUAUAACAAAUUCAUGGAUCGAGAUGCAAUUUCACCUUUGUUUGCAAAUUUCUAAUCUCAAUACAGAGUCUCAUGCACAGAACAUGUCAAAGGCUAUUUGUUGUUGCAGAUGAAGGAAAAUUAUACUUCACUACCACCACUUCUAGUUUCAGUAGGAGCUGACGCAUCAAUAUCUCCAAAAUGGCAUGGUAGCCUAAUUCAGAACUAUUUUAACAAUACCAAGAACCAGGUGAGCCGACAAAACAUAUGUAGCAGCGACUGAAACUGCGGUGCAAGUGCAACGACGACAGCUCCUGGGCUCUGCCACAACCCUCGGUCAAACAUCUGACGCUAAAAAUUAUAUUAUCAAUAGAUGAUCAGUCGCUAAAGAUAACUCAUAGGCUAUCUGUUGCUAAUUCCCUAUUUACUAGUUGAACGCCCGUUGCUAUAGACAUUCAUAUUUACUAUUGGGCCAUCAGUUGCUUAAAAUAGAUAUACUGCCGAUCAGUUGCCCCAUGUCCAACUCAUGAGCCCACGCCUCCAUCCAGCUCACGCACAAAUUUUAACGUGGCCUACACAAUGACAAACCCUAGACUCUUCUCUCCUCAAAUCUCAAAUCUAGAGAAGUGUUGCCACUUGUUCUUUCCUCUCCCAUAGCUGCCGCCAUUUUUUUCUCUCCCGCCACGCUCCACUCUCUCUCCAUCCCUUCCUAUUCCAAUUUGCCGGUCUCUUUAUCCCACUUGACUACGCGUCGUCUCCCUUCCAAAUCCCGCGCCACCCACCCCAAAUUCCCCCUAGGCCUCUCUGCUGGAGAAUAUGAGAUGCAACUCAUGCAAGAAGAUCGGAGGGAUGGGGUAGGGGUACCAUGCCACCCUUGGCCCGCUGGGUGGUGGCACACCGCCGUCAUCAUCGAUAGCUGCCACCGCUGCAUCACUCGCGCAAAAUUGAAUGGCACCGCCGGAUCUCAUUGCAAUGGAAUGACACCGGGGGUCCAGCAGGAGAUGGAGAUUCAGAUCGACUUGGAGUUGUCUGUGGAGCACACAAUAUCUUGCAAAUGCAUAUUCUUGCGCAUGAGAAUCUCUCUUGUGCUCAAUCUAUCCUUGAGGAGAAGCCAGAAGAAAUUCCCCUUUUGUUCUAAUAGGCUGGCUUCCACAACCACCGAUAAAUAGGGUGAAUUUAUCUAUGACCCACAAGAUGUUUAUAAAAUCUCUGACAAGAGAACAUAUUAGAUCCCCAGAUAUAAACUCAUUUAUUUGGUUCACCGGUAGUCUGAAAGUUCAAAGUUAGAAUGAAGUCUUGAUACCGCUGAAAAGCCCCCUCUAAAAGGGGGAGAUGGAACAAGUCAUGUAGAGGGUGAUCUAUAAAGCAUGAGAGACUGAGAGGUUUCUUUCUUCACAUAAGAAAAGAGCUUUGGAUAUUUGGCACUUAGAGGCUCCCUAACCCAAUUGUCAGUGCUUAGCAGGUAGAACCAUCAGCUAACUAAGUAGAAGCUAAACCAUUGAAGGGGGAUAAUAGCUUAAGUAUGUCCCUCCACUAGAAAGGGGCUCCCGAUAUUGACACUGGUAGUUGAUCAUUGGAAUAAUAUUUCUGCCAAAUAAGUUUCAACCAAGAUAUAUCUCUAUUGUAGAACUUAUGCAAGUGCUUCAUUGGUAAGUUUUCAUUUUGUUUCUUGAGAUCAAGUACCCCUAAACCCCCCUCAUCGUUGGUAAAUAGACCAUAGGCCAAGCAACUUAUUUAGGUGACUUUUUUGUUAUUGAUGUCAUUGCCACGCCAAAGGCAGUGCUUCCUAAUUUUGUCAAGUUGCUUGAUAACUAUUUUAGGAAGAAGAUAUGUGCAAAUAGUGAAGGUUGGUAGAGUAGUGAAAACUGGUAGUAAGCUCCAACCAACCUGCUUGACUUAGAAAAUUGGAUGUACUAACAAGCCUCCUUUCACAUCUAGAAACUAAGGGCCAGAAGUCCACCACCGAGGGUUUUGUCAAACUCAAUGGGAGCUCAAGAUAAAUGAAGGGCAGACUUCCUUUAAAACACUGAAAUGUAUUAACCAAAAUAUAGAACCAGUCAUCAGAUACAUCAAUAGGGACCAUCAUAGAUUUUGUAAAGUUGACCUUAAGACCUGUAAAUUCUGUAAAGGAAUUCAAUAAAAUCUUGAGAAAGAACAAUUGUCUAGCACAACCUUGCAUAAAAAUUAGGGUAUCAUUAGCAUAGUAAGUCUGGACAAUGAUUGAGUGACAGUGGAAGAGCAAGAAGGCCCUAAUCUUUGGCAGCAUUCAAAUGGACCGUAACAAAUCAGCUGUCAGCACAAACAAAAGUGGUGGCAGAGGGUCACCGUGCCUUACCCCACGCUUGCAAUGAAAAACCUUGAAAGGGACACCUAGGAUAUAUAUUUAUUACUAUAUACUACUACUGAAUGCAAAGAUAACAAGGACGUCAAGAAUCUGAAUGCUUACUGGAAAUGAUUGUGGCAAGACUGGCACUGCACCGCAACCGGAGCUCUUAGUUGUUGCUCUGACAAGAGGUUAAGAGUCUGGCUCAUAAACUUUUGAUACUCAUUAGUGACACAACCUGGGUGAUAGAUAAAAUGCCCGUCACUUUUGAAUGUAGCACCAACCUGUCUAGUAUCUGUUCAUGACCCGCCGGUGAAGACGAUGCCAACCGUCCGUCUCCAGUGCCAACCGGUCAAGCGUAACAAACUGAAGUGUGUACUGUGUACGCACUCCAUGAUAAAUGCAGGCUCCUCAGUCGGGACAGUCAGCAAACAGAACUCACUGCUGCAAUCCUAGCGAAAAAUAAUUAGUGGGCGAGUUCUCAUUUUCCUCAUUGCCAGGCGGAAGAGGAGGUGAUCGGCAAUGUCAGCGGGUGCCAGGAAGAAGACGGCGUGCGUGACCGGAGGUAACGGGUACAUCGCCUCGGUGCUCAUCAAGAUGCUGCUGGAGAAAGGGUACGCCGUGAAGACGACGGUCAGGAACCCCGGUUCGUUCAGUUCCUCACUAAUUUCCACACUUCAGCCUGAACACUUGAACUUGAAUUUCUUGUGAUCCCAUCCCAUGACACUUGAACUUGAAUUUCUUGUGAUCCCAUCCCAUGACUCCAUGACAAAAUGGGAUAGGAAUUGUACGUUGACAGUGGCUGGUUUAGGCUCUGAUUCUGAACGUGUUGUGCAUUGUGAUUCUGAAUAAUCCCAGAUGACAUGGAGAAGAGCUCCCACCUCAGGGACCUGCAGGCGCUUGGCCCCCUGGAAGUCCUCGGCGCCGACCUGGACAAAGAAGGCAGUUUCGACGACGCCGUCGCCGGCUGCGACUACGCCUUCCUCGUCGCCGCUCCAGUGAACCUCCAUUCGAAGAAUCCUGAGGUGCACGAAAGUCACACAGCUGCCUAUCACACACUUCUUUCGAUCUGGUAUAUGGCGCCCAUAAUGGCAAUUUUCACCUGCUCAAAAAUUUGGUGGUGACAGGAAGAAUUGAUCGAGCCUGCUGUCCGAGGAACCCUGAACGUCAUGAGGUCGUGCGCCAAGGCAGGGACAGUGAAGCGCGUGGUUCUGACCUCGUCGGCGGCCGCAGUCUCCGGCAGGCCGUUGCAAGGCAGCGGGCACGUUCUGGACGAGGAGUCCUGGUCCGACGUCGAGUACCUCACUGCCAACAAAUCCGGUCCCUGGGUAAUAGCACACAACUAUAUACUCCAUAAAUGUUCAAGUCCAGCAGAUGGUCAUUUUCCCCUACACACAUAAUAGUGUUCGUUUCAGUCCUGAAUGAUGACGAGCAUGGCAAUGGCACCGUGCUUGCACUGCAUUGCAUGCAUCGCAGGGGUACCCCGUCUCCAAGGUGCUCUCGGAGAAGGCGGCGUGCAGGUUCGCGGAGGAGCACGGCAUCAGCCUCGUCACCGUCUGCCCCGUCCUCACCGUCGGCGCGGCGCCGGCACCAAAGAUCCACACGAGCGUCCCUGCCAGCCUCUCCCUGCUAUCCGGUUGCUUCCCAAAAUUCCCGUGUCCCUUCUCUUCUCCACGUAGAGCUCUGCACUGCACCGCAUGUACUCAUCACGUCAUGGUUCCCCAAAACUUGCAGGCGACGAAGCAGCGUUCGGCGUGCUGAAAGGCAUCGAGAUGGCCACGGGCUGCGUGUCGCUCGUUCACGUUGCCGACCUGUGCCGUGCCGAGGUGUUCGUCGCCGAGGAAGACGCCGCCGCCGGGAGGUACGUCUGCUGCAGCGUCAACACCACCAUCGUCGAGCUCGCCCGUUUCCUGGCGGACAAGUACCCGCAGUACACCGUGAAGACGGACCUGCUGUAAGACUCGGCCGGGCUUUUCACGUGGGAUUCUGGGUUCUGGCACAUAUUUUGCACGGGAUAGAUUUCAGUGAUCGAAUGCUCGCGCGUGCUUUGCAGCUCCACCGGCGAGGUCCUUGAGAAGCGGAGAGUGAGCCUGUCGUCGGCGAGGCUGGUCAGUGAAGGGUUCGAGUUCGAAUACGAGACGCUGGGCAAGAUCUACGGCGACGUGGUGGAGCACGGCAAGGCCCUGGGGAUUCUGCCCAACUGAUACUUUCUAUGCGUUGUCUUCCAUCUACCAUCUGUGACCGGAUCAAGCGAUCGAGAGCACCAAAUAAAAUUACAAUGAAGUUGGGAAAUAAAUUUUCUGUGUCUCUGUACCUAUACGCUAGCUGAACUGUAGAGGUUCCGGUCAGUUGGCUCUGCGUUUCUGUGUUCCUGUAUUUCUAAAGGCAAUAACUCGUGGAACAAAAACUUGGCGAUCUGCUUUGCCUAUAAGGCAAUAACUUGCUGGCAAGUAAAAUGUGCAGGAUUAUCUCAGGGAAAAAAAUGUUUUUGUUUGGAACCCACAUAAGAAUAGCAAUUUUUCAGUACAAUAUCUAUGUAUCAAAACUUGUUACUUUUCUACUUUCAAAAAAAAAAUCAGAACGACCUGUAAAUUCCAUGGCUAUGAAGAUAAAAAUAGUUCGACCAUGGAAUGAAUGUCAGAAGUGUGCUGGUUUUUUUUAAUUAUUUUAGUAACAAUACAGAACUGCUUCUUUUUUCCAAGAAAAAUGAAGGUACAAGGUCAGCCAAAUUUAGUACUAAUAAUAGCAUGUUUGUGUCAUCAAAAAGGUACUAUAUGAUCUAGUCACAACUCACAAGUUAAAAGCAUCGUACUAUAAUCAUGCAUUCAAACAUGGAAGAUAGAAAAUGGGUCGCUACAGCAGUGUACCCAACGGCACCAGAGUAGUUUCCCUUAGUAGACACAACGACGGGUCUCGUAGUGUUUGUUGAUAUAGCCGUCCUGCUCGAUACUAAAAAGGUUGCAGAAGCCAAGCCGUCGGGAAGUAGCAGGGAGGAGAUUGAAGCAACCAACCUCAUGAGACAAAAAAAUAGAAUUAUAAGACACUUAUUUUAUUAUUGUAUGAUUUAAUAUUAUCAUACAACUCGCACACUUUCUUUCUUGUUUGUUCAAAUAAAGGAUUAUUGAAUUAUUAUAAAACAAUUUAAAAGACAAACCAGUUUAUGAGGUUGUAUUAUAAGAGACCAUCUAUGGUCUAAAAGACAACCCAGCUUAUGAUGGGCUGUAAACAACAGCCCAUGAAGUGAAGGCUGCGCCUGAGAGAGUACCGAAAUCACCCCAGUAGCAUCACCUAGGGGAGGGAAUAUACAUAGAAUGUACUAGCGCUGUCACGCGGCAUCCUUGUCAAAGUGCUAGGUAGAAAACAGUGCCCUUCAAAAGAGAGAUGUAAAUGUAACUGUGAAUGAAAUCACCUGCUGGAAUACGCAAUUCCAACAACACAGUAACAGUGUUUAGCCCUAAAUGGCGAUGACAAUUAGUAUUCAGCACUCAGUGGUCAAGUUGUCAGUCAUAUGAAUAACAGAACUCGUUUUAUGCACCGUUUACCAGAGUACUCGGAUUUCCAUCCAACUUACUCAGAGAUUGAGGUUUUUUAGAAAAAAAGUUAUCAGGAAGAGGAUAUGUUUGAGUAUUGCCUUUAAUACCCUUUAUCGCUAAUAUAAUGAUAUGGAAAGGGAUUGGGUUCUUUUUUUUUGACAACUGCAUAUAUUAUAUAUUAAGCAACCAUUUUACACAAUGUUGGAAGGGUUGGGGAGGAAGGAGCCACGCGCAGAGAGGGAGAUGGAUGGGACGAUAGUUGUUGACAAAGAAAAAUAGAUAGGGGGUUAGUGCACUGUCUUGCACACACGGUUAUACCAAAACCGUCUGUCUCAAAAAGUCAACUUAUGGUAGUGGAUAAGCCCCAGAUUUUGGCAUGCCACCUGGAACGCCCUAAGUGGAGGGCAGGGCUAGCUGGGCGUUGGUGUUGUUGCUUCCUGGCGGGACCCAAUCCUGGCACAGCCUGUUGUUGACAGUGGCAUUAGGGGUAUAUAGAAGAAAAAAAGAACAUGUUGCAAUGGGUGGGUCGGCCCGUGGAGGCAUGAAGAGUGAUAAGAUCGGAUUCGCUUGAGUGUGCCACUCGCGUCCUAGGCCAACCGGAGUUUACUUUUGUAACAACUCUUACUUCUCUUCAUGAUAUACUUCCUCUGUCUCUGAAAACUUCAAUUUCUAGAAUCUGUGUCAGUCAAACUUGUUUAACUUUGACCAACUUUAUAGAAAAGAGCAUCAAUAUGUAUAACAUAAAAUAAGUAUCUUAUGAAAAUAUAUUCAAUAAUAAAUCUAAUGGUAUUAAUUUGGUAUUAUAAAUCUUAGUGCUUUUUUCUAUAAAUUUGGUCAAAAUUUUAAAAGUUUGACUUAGGACAACUCUAUAAGUUGCAGCUUUCAGGAACUGAGGGAGUACAUUGCCAAUGCAUGGUCACGAAAAAAAGAUCAGUUGUCAUCAUAUUUAAUAAUCGCAAAAAAGUUAGGAUCAUAUAUUUAUUGAGUUCUAAACACGUGGCCUUUACAACUCUAUUAGUUCAUGAAAAGAAAAAUUUUUAGAUACUAUAGUACAUUAUAAUUAUAAUAAUUAAUAUCUAAUUAUAGAUAGAUUAAUUAGACCUUACACGACCGAAGCUUUUCAGCACACACGGCGCCAUCCGGCAACGGAGCAGAGCAUCAUCACCUACUGCCUCGUUUGCUUGAGAUGGAGUAGAUCGCACGUCUCUGCCUGAAAGUCCUCAAUGUCUUGUCCUAAAUAUUACAGAGUACUUUCUGUUAUGGACGUCAGUUUCAUCCCCUACUUGCUUCUUGUGCGGUGUCUAGCGAGAUGGCCACCGACAGUCACUUGCCACCAAAUCGACGACGACGGGUCUCAGUGUCAGUGCUCCCUGCCGAGAGCUUGUUGUGAGCCCUGUUUCGCUUUGUCACGCGAGGGAGGUGGUGACCGGCGAUCGGCGUAAGCGUAGGCUCGUAGCCAGCAAAGCCAAAAAUGUCGGCCGGCGACAUGAAGAAGACUGCGUGCGUGACCGGAGGGAACGGCUACAUCGCCUCGGCGCUCAUCAAGAUGCUGCUGGAAAAGGGCUACGCCGUCAAGACGACGGUCAGGAACCCCGGUUUGAUUCUUUGACCUUCCUUUUCAUGUACAGAGAGGGCUCUGAUUCCUUUCGUCCAGUCUUGUUUCGUGUCCGUUGUUCCUUUUCAUGUACAGAGGAUAUUGGUGAUAGUUAGCACUUGGCAGUGAUGCGUUUAGUCUGUGAAAGUGCUCUGUUGUGAUGAUUCUGAAUCGCAGAUGACAUGGAGAAGAACUCCCACCUCAAGGACCUGCAGGCGCUCGGCCACCUGGAGGUCUUCCGCGCCGACUUGGAUGAAGAUGGCAGCUUUGACGACGCCGUCGCCGGCUGCGACUACGCCUUCCUAGUCGCCGCUCCAGUGAACCUCCACACGAAGAAUCCUGAGGUGAACAAAUGUCACAGCUACUCGAGUUCCAUCUCUCGUUUGUCUAGAGUUGCUGACAGCAUCUGCUCAUACUGUUCAUCAACGUUCAUCCCUUGCUCAAUAAUUGGCGGCAGAAAGAGCUGAUCGAGCCCGCUGUCAGGGGAACUCUGAACGUCAUGCGGUCGUGCGUGAAGGCCGGGACGGUGAGGCGCGUGGUCCUGACCUCGUCGGCGGCCUCGGUCUCCAGCAGGCCGCAGCUGCAAGGCGACGGGCACGUGCUGGACGAAGACUCCUGGUCCGAUGUCGAGUACCUUAGAGCCCACAAGCCUGCAGGGCCCUGGGUACGUCGUACGACGCACGUCAGCCCUUGCAACUGUUUGGUGACGACGAGAAGUUGACAACGACGGCGCUGCUGGACGUGCUUGCUUGCAUUGCAGGCGUACCCGGUGUCCAAG